rnacentral:rRNA from 1 species
UACGGAGGGUGCGAGCGUUGUCCGGAAUCACUGGGCGUAAAGGGCGCGUAGGUGGCGGAGCAAGUCAACGGUGAAAGCUCGACGCUCAACGUCGAGUCGGCCGUCGAGACUGCUUUGCUCGAGCACUGUAGAGGCAGAUGGAAUUCCGGGUGUAGCGGUGGAAUGCGUAGAGAUCCGGAAGAACACCGGUGGCGAAGGCG